GUUUCUUUUCUUUUCUUUUUUAAGACUUGUGCUUAGGAAAAUAGUUGUUUCUGCUCUGGAAACUCGUGGAAAAACUAACUUCAACCUCCUGCACAUAUGUCUUUCAGUCGGUGUGAAUUUAAUUACUUGUUGAGAUCUCAACCUUGUAUGUUGUCUGCCUUAUCAAUGUAUUGAAGCCUGGUUUUGGCAAACUAUGUUUGACAUUGAGAACUUCACUAUGGUUAAUUCUCCAUGGUCUGAGUAUUUUUCCUCAGGGUGAGUAGUCUUUCCGUUGAGCUUUCUUUUACCAUCUUUGACAAUAAUUGUCUAUGUCUUUGAGCUUUCUUUUGCCCUUGAGAGUGAUUUUGUCAUUUUGCUUUUAUAGACAAAGGGGCAACUUUCUUAGUUUAUAUAUUUUUAUACUACCCAAUUAGAAUGUUUGUCAAAGUGGUAAUUUUCAGUAGGGAAUGUGACGUUUGUUUCACUUCUUUCUUAUGAGCUGUGUCCCAUAUUUAAUAGCUUUUGGUGUGUGGAAAGUCCAAUUUAGGAUUUCUGGUUAAUGUAAUGGCAAUUGGUUAGUUUACUUGCAGAUUAUUAAGAAUGACAUGCCUGUGUCUGAUUGAAAUUUCAAACCAGCUGAGUAUCAUCCCAAUUAUUUAGGGUAAUGAGAAAUUGUUUUUACCCACCUUCAGGUUGCAUGUUCUAUCAUAUAUGCCUCGAAUUGAAUGCCAAAAAGGAUUCAUAUAUAACAUUAUGUUUGGUAACAUCAUUUUUUUAAUGGCAUCACCAUCCUAUUUGUGUUACAUAAAUAGUGGUCUGAGAUAUUGAUGGUUUUAGCCUGUCAUUAAUUCAUUAUCUAAUAAAUCUGACUCAAUGAUGUGUAAUAAAUAGCUCGUUUGCUUUCUUUUCUUCAAUGCAGGUUUAUCCUGUCCUCAAUG
rnacentral:misc_RNA from 1 species